CCAGAGAGAAGAACAGAAAAUCGCCCACGGGAAAUAAUCUGCGUCGUCACAAAUCACCGGUCGAACUGUGGGUCAAAAAAAGUUCUGUGAUCUCUAUAAAUACAGGUCCUAUUUCUGAAAGAGUAUCAGUUGAAACUUAGGAACCAGCUUAGAAAAGUGGCAAAAAGGUAACAAUAUAGCAUCGCAGGUGAAAAAGAAAAGAGGCAAACAGCAGAACAAUUAUAGAUCUGGAUAUACUUUCACAACUUGGCAAAAGGCAACGGAGUUCGAGUGCAAUAUAGUUAGUGUGCAAUUUGCAAGAUGGAGCUCUCGGUGAUUUUUGUGUGCAUGGGCGUUUUGCUCAUGGGCACCGCAAACGCGGAGUAUAACUACAAGACAGGGUUUCUGAACGCGCAGGGAGUCCCCGAUGGUGGGAUGGAUGUUGUACCACCAUCAUUCGAAG